AAAUCGUUGUUUUCAUUAGAAAUUGACUCGGACUUUUAAUCCGUUGGUCACAGGUUCGAAUCCCGUACGGCCUACCA
rnacentral:tRNA from 1 species